UAAUAUCAUGCAUUUUAAAAUAUUAAAUGUCUACUAGCUGAAUGCCCGUGCAUUGCCACGAAACAACAAACUUAGGAGUGGAUACAUUAAUAUCAAAUAUCAUUGCAACUUACAAUGUGAACAUAGUAUGAGGCUUAUGACACUGUCGAGAAUUGAAAAAUAUCAUUUUGGAGUGUGUUCUCAUUGCCACCUUCGCUCAAUCAUCCACGCUCAAUAGUCCGUUCACCUAUGUUGCUGCUGACAACGCUGGGCGUAAUUUGCUGCUGAUCUCUCUCUCUCUCUCCCAACCUCAAUCCAGGUCUUCUAUAGCACCGCCACAGCGGAUGUCGUAUUUCUCGAUCACAUGGAGCACUCACGCUCCCGCUUGCUUUCUCGCCCACAUCGAAGUCCUCCUAGCCGCCGCCUCAUAUUUCUUAGCCGCGCCAUCGUAUCUUGCUUGCUAUUCGUGAUUAUCAGCAAUCCAAUUCUGAUUUAUGGAUUAGUAGUGCUUAGUUACUAACAUGAAAUUGUCGAGCGCAAAACUUCUUCCUAUAUCUUCUCCCUUAAGACUCUCUUUGUCGCAUGUCUUCUUUGCCUCCUUAAUCCUGCUGGAAUACAAAGUAUAUGUGCAUCACUUAUUAUAUUUGUUCAAAUGCAUCACAUGUGUUCAGUUUUCACCACAUAUCAUUUCCUUAUGUAGCCUCCCUCUAGUGUGAAGCCAGCCAUAUAAUUGGAAACAAGGAAAUGAUAUGUGGUGAAAACUGAACACAGCAAUCCAAACUUAGUAUGAAGCCAGCCAUAUAAUUGGAAACAGAAUGCUUUUAUUUAACAAAUGCAUACUACUCCCUCCGUCCCAAAAUAAGUGUCUCAAGUUUUGUACAACUUUGUACUAAAGCUAGUAUAAACUUGAGACACUUAUUUUAGAACGGGGGGAGUAUUACUUUGCUGCCGAGCCUAUUAUUUAACAAGCAGAAGGGCAUGAGAAGCAAACAACCAGGAUAAAGAAAAAAAGAGAGCAAAGUGUGAGGCUUAUUAUGAUUCAGUAAGCAAAGUCAGUAGUUGUUGCGCAACUGAUUAGGACUUCAGGUAGAGAGAGAAAACAAUGCUUGGCGGAUACCAGCAUCAUUGUGUUCUAUUUUAGCU
rnacentral:lncRNA from 1 species